rnacentral:rRNA from 1 species
AACCUACGGGGGGCAGCAGUGGGGAAUAUUGCACGAUGGGGGAAACCCUGAUGCAGCGACGCCGCGUGAGUGAAGAAGUAUUUCGGUAUGUAAAGCUCUAUCAGCAGGGAAGAUAAUGACGGUACCUGACUAAGAAGCUCCGGCUAAAUACGUGCCAGCAGCCGCGGUAAUACGUAGGGGGCAAGCGUUAUCCGGAUUUACUGGGUGUAAAGGGAGCGUAGACGGCAGCGCAAGUCUGGAGUGAAAUGCCGGGGCUCAACCCCGGAACUGCUUUGGAACCUGUGCAGCUAGAGUGCGGGAGAGGG